CCACAUCACAUUAAAACACUGGUUCCUUAUGAUCACCAAAGUUAAGCAACAUUGAGCUGGGUCAGUACCUAGAUGGAUGACCACUUGGGAAUACGAGAUGCUGCAAG